CUAUCCACUCUUGGUUUUAUCUUCUUCUUCUUCUUCUUCAAAUUCACGACUGCACAAACCAGAGAAACGAACAGCUGUAAUCAAUCGCAAUCAUGGCGCAAAAGAAGAAAGAGCUGCUGUCAUCAGCGCUAUGGAGGAUGGGCCCACAAGAAGAAGACAAAUUCAAGGACGCUAAGUUGAAGGUCACGUCACAGCCCGGUGCAACACCCAAAAUGCACGUCCCCGGCAAGAAAACGUUCGGCUCCAAAAACGACACCGUUGGGGAGGAUUCUCUCACUGAAAUCGACCCUGAACUUCGCUACAGCAAUUUCCAGUUCCUUCAAAACGUCUUCAGCAUUGAUACGAUUGUGAAGCCCCUUCCUCCAACAAUGGCAUACAAUGUCUCGCGCAAUUUAUCCUUCUUCACAAGGAUCUUCACACAGUUCUUUGAUCCCGAUGGUAUAGCGGAUGCACAGAAUCGCUUGGAUUAGGUCAGGAGGAGAAAGCUCGCAAGGAUAUCUGAUUCCAAAAGGGUGGAAGGUGCUGCCACUUUUCAGAAACAUCCACCACAAUCCAUAAAAUUUCCCUGAGCCAGAGAAGUUUGAUCCUUCAAGAUUUGAGGCUCCUGUGAGGCCCAAUACAUUCAUCCCAUUUGGCAGUGGGGUCCACUCAUGCCCAGGGAAUGAGCUUGCCAAGCUGGAGAUCUUGUUGAAAUUUUUGCAGGUAUUCUAUGAUGGCCCCACAGAAUGGAGUUCAGUAUGGACCCUUCCCUCUUCCCCAGAAUGGUCUGCCAAUUAAAAUAUCUCUCAAAAAAUGAGUCCAAAUGCAAAGCAUGUUUCCUGCCAAGUGGGAGACUAGUAAUAAAGAGACACCACCUUUUUCUGUUGCCUUUGAUCAAGAAAUGGAGGCAGCCCACAGUUAGAGAGAAUUGUAUAUAAAGAAUUUCAAGAAACUGAUAAAAAUAUUUAUUCACAUUUCUCUGUUGCCUUUGAUCAAGAAAUGGAGGCAGCCCACAGUUAAAGAGAAUUGUAGAUAAAGAAUUUCAAGAAACUGAUAAAAAUAUUUAUUCACAUUUCUUCUACAGGGAUAAAAAUAAUUAUAAUAAGUAGCUAUAUAACUAGACAAAUUCUUUGUAUUUUAGCUCUUUUGCUAUGCGAAGAAGUCCGCAAGGCAAUCAAUGAAAAUCUAUAGUCUCAGUUUUGGCAAA